rnacentral:rRNA from 1 species
GAGUUUGAUCAUGGCUCAGAUUGAACGCUGGCGGCAUGCCUUACACAUGCAAGUCGAACGGCAGCACGGGGGCAACCCUGGUGGCGAGUGGCGAACGGGUGAGUAAUGCAUCGGAACGUGCCCAGUAGUGGGGGAUAACUAGUCGAAAGAUUAGCUAAUACCGCAUACGACCUAAGGGUGAAAGCGGGGGAUUCGCAAGAACCUCGCGCUAUCGGAGCGGCCGAUGUCUGAUUAGCUAGUUGGCGGGGUAAAAGCCCACCAAGGCAACGAUCAGUAGCUGGUCUGAGAGGACGACCAGCCACACUGGGACUGAGACACGGCCCAGACUCCUACGGGAGGCAGCAGUGGGGAAUUUUGGACAAUGGGCGCAAGCCUGAUCCAGCCAUGCCGCGUGCGGGAAGAAGGCCUUCGGGUUGUAAACCGCUCUUGGCAGGAACGAAACGGCGCGAGCGAAUAUCUCGCGUUAAUGACGGUACCUGCAGAAUAAGCACCGGCUAACUACGUGCCAGCAGCCGCGGUAAUACGUAGGGUGCAAGCGUUAAUCGGAAUUACUGGGCGUAAAGCGUACGCAGGCGGCUUUGCAAGACAGGUGUGAAAUCCCCGGGCCUAACCUGGGAACUGCAUUUGUGACUGCAUGGCUAGAGUUUGUCAGAGGGGGGUGGAAUUCCACGUGUAGCAGUGAAAUGCGUAGAUAUGUGGAGGAACACCGAUGGCGAAGGCAGCCCCCUGGGAUGUGACUGACGCUCAUGUACGAA